rnacentral:rRNA from 1 species
CCAGGAUGUUGGCUUAGAAGCAGCCAUCAUUUAAAGAAAGCGUAAUAGCUCACUGGUCGAGUCGGCCUGCGCGGAAGAUGUAACGGGGCUAAACCAUGCACCGAAGCUGCGGCAGCGAACGUAUCACCCAAGACAACUUUACGGAGUUGACGAUUGACGGAGCGAAGCGACGUCAAAGCGUUCAUUAAAGUCGAGUUGGCUUAGGGAUACGUUCGUUGGGUAGGGGAGCGUUCUGUAAGCCUG